ACUCCUACGGGAGGCAGCAGUGGGAAUAUUGCACAAUGGGCGCAAGCCUGAUGCAGCGACGCCGCGUGAAGGAUGAAGGCUUUCGAGUCGUAAACUUCUGUUAAGUGGGAAGAAAGACCCUUGAGUAAUAUGCAAGGGAGAUGACGGUACCACUAGAGAAAGCACCGGCUAACUUCGUGCCAGCAGCCGCGGUAAUACGAAGGGUGCAAGCGUUGUCCGGAAUUAUUGGGCGUAAAGAGCUCGUAGGCGGUUUGUCACGUCUGCUGUGAAAAUCCAAGGCUCAACCUUGGACUUGCAGUGGGUACGGGCAGGCUAGAGUGCGGUAGGGGAGAUGGGAAUUCCUGUGUAGCGGUGGAAUGCGCAGAUAUCAGGAGGAACACCAAUGGCGAAGGCACAUCUCUGGGCCGUAACUGACGCUGAGGAGCGAAAGCGUGGGGAGCGAACAGGAUUAGAUA
rnacentral:rRNA from 1 species